rnacentral:lncRNA from 10 species
UGCAGAUCAUGAUCCGCUCGAUUAACGGGCAGGAGGUAAUGGAUGGAGCCCGCCAUGCUGCUCCGGGUGCCGCUGCUGAUGCUGGGGACCGAGCCAGGAUGGAGGGAGGGGCGUGCACAGGAGAAACCUGGAACUUUCCCUGGGAAUAGACCCUGCAGGGGAAAGCCCUGUCCCAGCGCCUUCUGAAGUGGGCUGCAAGCUGCAUUCAAAGGGGCUUCUCACCCCAGACUGAGGGUGGGAGCGAGGGCUGCGAGGCUGCACCCUGGAGAUGCAGCCAGGCCAGGCACUCACUUACGCUGCCAGGCGGUUCACACUCACAGCGCGUCCUGAACCGCCUUAGAGGGGCCGUAGAGGGCGGCUCUCUCAUUCACAGGUGCUGAGUUUGCUGAGCCCCUCCGUGCUUCUUGCUUGCUCCCCGCACUCCAGGGUGGAGGUCCUGCUAUCUCCUCUCUGCAGAUGAGGAGUUCUCUCAUCCGAACCUCACGGCUCAAGGAACAGAAAGCUGGACCAACGGUGGUCAAAUACAGUGGGCGCUUAACUACCUCAUGGGAGUGAAUGGAAAGGAGUUCCCAAGGACCCCGGGUUCUAGCCCCAGGGCCCUGUGGAUGGAUCUCACGUGGAAAGGGGGCUUUGCCUCUCAAGGAUCUGGCGAUGCGGAGAGCAGCCUGGGUUAUCCUGCAGCCACGAGAAUCUAAUACAUUCAUGAAAGGAGCCUGGAGGUGGGUGGCACCGGCGUUGAGAAGGAGGUAAUGACAUCACCCAGGGCCCUGGCUCCUUUCCCUCAGUCAUCCUUGAAUGUUGGCUACUUGUUCUCUGGCUCCUGACCUCACAGUCACAAGACGGCUGCCACUGCUCCAGGCGUCCCAUCCUCACACGACAGCCUCUGAAGCAGAGAGUGAGAAAGGGCAUGGAGUGGCAUCACGGUUCAAAGCUGGCAGCCCCUGGUCCCCAGACUGCACCGGGCCAGUUCCAGCUUCUGGGGCCUGAGAGGCACGGGCCUCGGGUUCCCUGUGAGAAUUGUUCCUGGUGAUAGACCUGUGGGCUCUCUGGGGGCUGAGCGAGAGCCGUCCUAACGGGGAGAUGGCCCAUCCAGGGCCAACACGGCACCUGUGCGUUCUCCCAUCCUCCUUCCCAAGGGAGUCCUGGCCAGGCCCCUCUCCUGUGUCCGAGGAGUCUUGCCAGCCCUCAUGGUCUGUGUCACGAUCUGCAGUAGCUGUCCCAUCAGGGCUGAUCUGGAAGGAGCCUUUCCUCCACAUGGCUUUUCCCAAGUCAGCCCUCAAGUGCUGUGAGCCUGGACCGCGCCCCUGUCCUCCAGGCAGCUGCCUGCACUCCACACCCAUGCGCGUGGCAGCUCUGCGCCCAGCAGCCCUCCUGGUGUGAUUUUUAUUUAUUUACCUGAAUACUGGAACAGCUGCUUUAUUGAGAUUCAUUGGUCGCAAGGCUUAAUUAAAAUAAUGCCACGCGUCUCACUCAGCGUGGGUCACCAAAG